CGGGCAGGCCGGGGUAGGGUGGGGCUGGGGGGCGCUUGUGACGGUAGCCGUGACCGCGGCACUAAGUGAUGCGUCCUUGAGGGGCUGGGGGCUGCCGGGUGGCGGGCGGGGCGCGGUAGGCGGCUCUUAGAGACCUCGGAGGCAGCCAGCCCAGCGAUGCGGCACUGGCAAGAACGCGAAGAGGUACUGAGAGUGAAGACAGCGAGAGGCGCGGUGUCGGAGGGCUUCCAGGUCUGAAGCUGUCUCCCGGCGGCCACGGAGUGUUCUCAUGUGGACUGGGCGGAGGAAGAACUCCGGUCCAGUGGAGUCCCUGGUGAGGUCGGAGCAUGCGACCUGUCCUCCCUCCCCAGGUCACCUCGCAGGAUUGAGGACAGUGCGGCCAGAUCGAGGGUGGAGUCUGCAGGAUUUUGAAACUGCAGCCCCUGGCAUGGCGCCCUAACAGAGCCUCUGCUCCUUGCCUGGUGACGACAACAGGAAGAAGGCCAACAACCCCAAACACUGCAGCUGCGUCAUAGAUCAGAUCUUCACUGGUGGGCUGCAGUUGGACGUCACCUGCCAAGUCUGCCAUGUCUCCACUACCAUAGACCCCUUCUGGGACAUCAGCUUGGAUCUGCCCAGCUGUUCCACCCCAUUCUGGCCCCUGAGCCCAGGGAGCAAGGGCAGCAUGGCGAACAAGGAAAGCCACGUGUCUGGGAAUCACCACAAUCAUGGACUGCCUCGAAGAACGAAGGCCCUCAGCAUUCAGAUCCAGUCCAGGAGUUGGCAAGCUCUUUGUCUAAAGGCCCAGACUGUGAAGAUACCAGGCUCCACGGGCCACAUGCGAUCACACAAUCUCUGUUGCAUGUUCUUUGUUUCAUUUUACAACUCUUUAAAUGUGGAAAGCACCCAUUCCUAGCUCACUGCCUGGAAUGCGUGACUCCUGAUCUAGGCAAAAGACUGUCUUCUGUCUGGUGAAAGAAACAAAUUGUUUAUUUAUUCUGCUACGGGUCGUGGAUCUUUGCUUGUCUAUGCUUUGCUGGGUUUGCUGUGAAAUUACUUUUUGUACCCUUGGUGUUAUCACGGAACAAUUCCAUCAUUUGAAGCCUUGACUGGAACCCUGUAAAAGAGGACUUGUAUGGGUUAUCAUUGUUAUGGAAUCUGUAAUUCUAGAUGUAGCUAAAAGGCAAUUCCAUAAAAUACAAUGAGAUACACAGACACAUGUUAUUGAAGGAAGCCCCUGAAGUCUCCAGUGACAUUUCUGUUCUUCUUUCCUCUUCUCUGCCUUUUUCCUGUUUCUGCAGUGAUUUGAACACUCAGCCAAGCUGUGACGGAAGAUCGCCACAUACAUGUUCUUUCCCCUGGAGCUGGACAUGGCCCC
rnacentral:lncRNA from 10 species